CCUACGGGUGGCUGCAGUGGGGAAUAUUGCACAAUGGGGGAAACCCUGAUGCAGCAACGCCGCGUGAAGGAAGACGGUUUUCGGAUUGUAAACUUCUUUUCUUAGUGAAGUAUAAUGACGGUAGCUAAGGAGCAAGCCACGGCUAACUACAUGCCAGCAGCCGCGGUAAUACGUAGGUGCCAAGCGGUUUCCGGAAUUACUGGGGGUAAAGGGAGCGCAGGCGGGAAGCCAAGUCAGCUGUGAAAACUACGGUCUUAACUUGUAGACUGCAGUUGAAACUGGUGUUCUUGAGUGAAGUAGAGGUAGGCGGAAUUCGGGGUGUAGCGGUGAAAUGCGUAGAUAUUAGGAGGAACACCGGUGGCGAAGGCGGCUAACUGGGCUUUAACUGACGCUGAGGCUCGAAAGUGUGGGGAGCAAACAGGAUUAGAUACCCUAGUAGUC
rnacentral:rRNA from 1 species